CAAUUAUUGGUCGCGCAACGAGGAAUGUCUCGUAGGCGCAGCUCAUCAAACUGUGCCGAUUACGUCCCUGCCAUUUGUACACACCGCCCGUCGUUGUUUCCGAUGAUGGUGCAAUACAGGUGAUCGGACAGUCGAGUGCUUCACUUGACCGAAAGUUCACCGAUAUUUCUUCAAUAGAGGAAGCAAAAGUCGUAACAAGGUAGCUGUAGGUGAACCUGCAGCUGGAUCAUUUU